AGAAUGUAGGAGAUACCUUAUUCUCUUGAAUACAAAGUAAAAUCCAGAAGCGCGUAUCUGCUAAUUACAUUAAUAUAUCGACGUUGCUUAUAUCAUCGCGUUAAAAAUAAUGCUUUUCUAAAUACUCGCAGACGUCAAAGGAAAUUUUUUAGAUAAUCAGCUCGAAACUGAAAGUAAGCAAGAAAAAAAGAAAAGCAAUAAAGCCGGUACCGUCCAACUGGUACCUAUUUACUUUUGACGAAGAACUGAAUUAUCGCGACAAGUCCGCAAUAGGAAGAAUUAAAUCCACGUAAGGCGAAGUAUAUUGUGGGCGGCCUGAAAACCCAAUGGUCUGCAAAGCCUCGACCUUGCUUACCAAAUAAGGUCCCAUUCAAGGUCUUCGAGGCCUUGCGUAAGGCUCUGGCUGUGCCAUCGGCAUAACGAUUAACCGAUUAUGUCUACGUUUUAGUCAUCGCUCGUUUUUAAGUGAAAAUGGUGCAGCCACCAUCGAGAGCACACCGUCAUUUUAUAUAUUUAGCCUUCUCCCGAUCGUUCGAUUAGAUUAACUUCGAAAAUUUCGUAUUGGGCGUGUCUGCCCUACGCGGACACGUGCCCCGUAGGUAACGUCUGGCUCCAGUCGCGCAGUGCCACCGAAAUCAAUACGGAAUGCGACGUCAUGAUCAUCGUUGACGAGUGGAAAGCAUGCAUGGAAUCCGGCCAGAGUGGAAUACGCGAUCACUAUAUUUAGUGUUGACUUAUGGCUCGUCAGAUCGAGAAACUGUGACGUCCUCCUCAGCAGCUGACGAUAAAGAGAACGACGAUAGCCAGCGCGCAGACUGUGGACUUGUUGUUUCUAUCGAAAUAAAAUUCUCACUGAGAAUUCGUUGAUGAUUCAAGGUACCAGCAUACUCUUGGAAAACAUCCAACGGUUCAUCAAAAUACGUUAUUCAUUCACUGGUUACUCAUUAAACCGAGGCCCCUACUGUUAUGAGGACCACCUUGGCGAGUUGUUUGGUCCUAUGGUGUUUCAUGGCCAUGGGAGAGAUCGAUUAGGAACCUCUGCAGCGGCCACCACGCCCAGACAGGGAGGGAGCUGGUAUGAGUCACCCCAUAGAGAGAACCCAUAAGACGGGCGGGGACACCACCGUCGCGCUGCAACGUGGCAUUGAAAGUGACGAGAACACCGUGCAUAUUCACCCUCGCCUUUUUCCUUCAUAGUUCGACGAACGUGUGUCACGCGAGUCUAGGGAACACCAUGGAUCACGUGCGUCGACCUAACUCAACAACUUACUUAGUGCAAUUUAAGCCUAGGGAUGCCAUUGAUUUUCAUCCAUUGGACAAUGCGAGGAGAGGGCUUAACGAUUACUCAUCCUGCACCCACAACCACUUGCCAUUCUAUAUAUCCAAUAAAACUGUUACCUUUACUGUUUAAUUAUUUUGUAUCUCAAGUUUAAUAAUAAAAUUUCUUAUUAAUUUAA